rnacentral:rRNA from 1 species
AACGAACGCUGGCGGCAUGCCUAACACAUGCAAGUCGAACGUGAUCCGGAGCUUGCUCCGGUGAAAGUGGCGCACGGGUGAGUAACGCGUGGGAACCUGCCCAGAGGUAGGGAAUAACCGCGGGAAACUGCGGCUAAUACCCUAUAUUCCCUUCGGGGGAAAGAUUUAUCGCCUUUGGAUGGGCCCGCGUCGGAUUAGCUAGUUGGUGAGGUAACGGCUCACCAAGGCGACGAUCCGUAGCUGGUCUGAGAGGAUGAUCAGCCACACUGGGACUGAGACACGGCCCAGACUCCUACGGGAGGCAGCAGUGGGGAAUAUUGGACAAUGGGCGCAAGCCUGAUCCAGCAAUGCCGCGUGAGUGAUGAAGGCCUUAGGGUUGUAAAGCUCUUUCGGCGGGGAAGAUGAUGACGGUACCCGCAGAAGAAGCCCCGGCUAACUUCGUGCCAGCAGCCGCAGUAACAC